rnacentral:rRNA from 1 species
CCUACGGGAGGCUGCAGUGGGGAAUAUUGGACAAUGGGGGGAACCCUGAUCCAGCCAUGCCGCGUGUGUGAAGAAGGCCCUCGGGUUGUAAAGCACUUUCAGUGAGGAAGAACGCCUGGUGGUUAAUACCCAUCAGGAAAGACAUCACUCACAGUAGAAGCACCGGCUAACUCCGUGCCAGCAGCCGCGGUAAUACGGAGGGUGCGAGCGUUAAUCGGAAUUACUGGGCGUAAAGCGCGCGUAGGUGGCUUGAUAAGCCGGUUGUGAAAGCCCCGGGCUCAACCUGGGAACGGCAUCCGGAACUGUCAAGCUAGAGUGCAGGAGAGGAAGGUAGAAUUCCCGGUGUAGCGGUGAAAUGCGUAGAGAUCGGGAGGAAUACCAGUGGCGAAGGCGGCCUUCUGGACUGACACUGACACUGAGGUGCGAAAGCGUGGGUAGCAAACAGGAUUAGAUACCCCUGUAGUC